rnacentral:lncRNA from 1 species
GUUGUGCUGCUUAGGGGGGGAGAGAAUGAGAGGAGAAUUAUUAUGUGCAUCAGGUCCAAGUGACCCAAGGCAAUUUUUGAAGCAUGUGCACAAGGGAUGGUGCACAAUUAGGAGUUGGAGAGGCACAAGAGUAGCACGAUAUCUUGUGCUCCAAUGAUGUCCUGGUGCGUAUGGUAUAGAAGCAAUUAAAGAUGCUUAGGUGCUUCGUGCUAAAGGGCGGAUACUACGGCACCGAGUGGGUAACUUAGUGCCAUCCAUAUAUGACUUCGGCGAGAGCGAACACAAAGAUGUAGAAGGAACUUUGGGCCCCCCAUGAGGGACUUCGACGCCAUUAAAGGCCAAAUCCAUUUUCAAGGUUGGUCAUGCAUAAUUGAGAGGCUCGACCACUCGUGGGGAUCUAUGCAUAAGCGACCUUGUCGGACAUGUGGGGUCCUCUUUUUCUAUAAUCAAGCCGUUAUUAAAAUAUUUUGAAUUGAAAAUUUACACCUCUAUCUGCAUUCAUUGCUUCGGUUUCCACAUGUUGUGAUAUUUCAAACUUAAAUAUGCUUAAGUUUUGCACCAGUGAGAUCUCCUGCCCCCACUGAAGAGUGGGGUCUUUUGCCCCCCGUUGAAGAGUGGGAUCUUUGGCCAACGAAUUUCGACUUCUACCUUCAUGGGCAUACUUUGACCUACUCCAACCCGAUCUUCUUCUCCCCCACUGAAGAAUGGAUCUUUAGCCAACUGGUUUCGGCUUCGAUCUUCAAGGGCAUACUCUGGCCUCUUCGACUCUACUGACAUGGCUUCAGCUUCUCAUGGGAGGCUUGGCCCAUUUUCGACCCCUCUGGGACUCGACGAUAUCUUUGCUCUAUCAAAACUCGAUGGCAUCUUUGCUCUAUCGAUGCCUGUCUUCGAUCUCUUCAGGACUCGACAGUAUCUUUGCUCUACCAAAACUCAACAACAUCUUUUCUCUAUCGAGGCUUAAAGGAUUUCACCCUACUUUGGUCUGACUGAUGUGGGUGGCUACUCUGGCCCCUCAUAGGAAGCUUCAUCACGCUCGACACCAUAGGCCUCGAGGAUGCGAGACUCGACGAUAUCUUUGCUCUACCAAAAUUCGAUUGCAUCUUUGCUCUAUUAAGGCCCAUCUUCGAUCUCUUUGAGAUAGAACGAUAUCUUUGCUAUAUCGAAGCUCGAUGGCAUCUUUGCUCCAUCGAGACCUGAAGGAUUUCAUCCUAUUUCGGCCUAACCGAUGUGGAUGGCUACUCCAGCCCCUCACGGGAGGCUUCACCAUACUCAAUACCAUAGGCCUCGAGAAUACGGGACUCGACGGCAUCUUUGCUUUAUCAAAACUCGAUGGCAUCUUUACUCUAUCGAUGUCCAUCUUCGAUCUCUUCAAAACUCGACGGUAUCUUUGCUCUAUUAAAAUUUGACAGCAUCUUUGCUCUAUCGAGGCCCGAAGAAUUUUUGCUGCUGCACCUCAGAACUGGUCGAGGUGACCUUAGAUCUGGUCGAGGAUUUUUGCUGUUGCACCUCAGAAUUGGUCGAGAUGACCUCGGAUCUGGUCUAGGA